AUCCUGGCUUAGGAUGAACGCUGGCGGCGUGCUUAACACAUGCAAGUCGAACGGAGUAUAGACACUGCAGAGAUUUCGGUCGAAGCUUGUUUAUACUUAGUGGCGGACGGGUGAGUAACGCGUGGGUAACCUGCCGUAUGCAGGGGGACAACAGUUGGAAACGACUGCUAAUACCGCAUAUGCGCACAGUACCGCAUGGUACAGUGUGGAAAGAUUUAUCGGCAUACGAUGGACCCGCGUUUGAUUAGAUAGUUGGUGAGGUAACGGCUCACCAAGUCGACGAUCAAUAGCCGGCCUGAGAGGGCAAUCGGCCACAUUGGGACUGAGACACGGCCCAAACUCCUACGGGAGGCAGCAGUGGGGAAUACUGCACAAUGGGGGAAACCCUGAUGCAAGCGACGCCGCGUGAGUGAAGAAGUAUUUCGGUAUGUAAAGCUCUAUCAGCAGGGAAGAUGAUGACGGUACCUGACUAAGAAGCCCCGGCUAACUACGUGCCAGCCGCAGC
rnacentral:rRNA from 1 species